CUCCUCAGCUGUAAACUUCACCAUUUUUGCUAGUCCUUAAAUGUCACCAGAACAAUCAAAAUAAAACCUGUACACCACAUGAAAUUCAAGUCAAGCUCAAAUCUACGUGCCAAAUCCACAAGUAAUACUACAAAAUCAAAGGCAUACUCAGAGAGGCACAGGUCCCUAAGUUAAUCAACAUACUAAAAAAACAUCUAAAAUACCAGUAACUAGGCACGAUAAUAA
rnacentral:misc_RNA from 1 species